rnacentral:rRNA from 1 species
AGUGAACGCUGGCGGUAGGCCUAACACAUGCAAGUCGAACGGCAGCACAGUAAGAGCUUGCUCUUACGGGUGGCGAGUGGCGGACGGGUGAGGAAUACAUCGGAAUCUACUUUUUCGUGGGGGAUAACGUAGGGAAACUUACGCUAAUACCGCAUACGACCUACGGGUGAAAGCAGGGGAUCUUCGGACCUUGCGCGAUUGAAUGAGCCGAUGUCGGAUUAGCUAGUUGGCGGGGUAAAGGCCCACCAAGGCGACGAUCCGUAGCUGGUCUGAGAGGAUGAUCAGCCACACUGGAACUGAGACACGGUCCAGACUCCUACGGGAGGCAGCAGUGGGGAAUAUUGGACAAUGGGCGCAAGCCUGAUCCAGCCAUACCGCGUGGGUGAAGAAGGCCUUCGGGUUGUAAAGCCCUUUUGUUGGGAAAGAAAAGCGGCAGGUUAAUACCCCGCUGUUCUGACGGUACCCAAAGAAUAAGCACCGACUAACUUCGUG